AGGCCUAUAGCUCAGCUGGUUAGAGCGCACGCCUGAUAAGCGUGAGGUCGGUGGUUCAAGUCCACUUAGGCCUACCA
rnacentral:tRNA from 1 species